GACUGGACAUUUUAAAUUUUGAAUUGUGACUCAAAUUCAAAGUACUAGAGGACUUUUACCAUCUUAAGAAUGAUGAUCAACUCAUGGAAUCUGGGAGAACAAGUUAUCAUUUGGGUCAAGCAGAAAACUUGAUGUCAAGGAACUAAGUGUGCAAGGACCCUGAAAUCGGUGUGCAAGGAGAAAAAAGCUGUCUGCAGCUUGGAAGAGAUCUUUAUCUUGGGGAUGCUUACAGGUGAAAUCAAUGGGUUUAGUCAUCUCUUUGAAUGCAGUGGAGGUGAUACUAUGGUCAUAAUGACCAGGGGCUGGGUCAGAAGAACUUCAGAUUGAGCCUCUUGAAACAUUUGCUCUUGGAAUUCUCCCUCUCAGGAAACUAACAGCCUGCUAUGAAGCCCAAGCCACAAAGAGAGGCCAAGGGGAAAUAAACAGAGUGUGAUUAUAUGCAAAACCUACAAGAAUGAGGACCUCCAAACUCAGUGUACAGAGUGAUUUUCUGCUGAAACAAUUGGAAAAUAAAAGAGACAUCAGUGUGUGAAUGACGACUUUCUGUUGCUGACUUGGAAGACAGAGGAAUUGGGUCAUGAGCCGAGGAAGGUGGGCAGCUUCUAAAAGGCGGAAAAGUGGCUGAAGUGAGAGGAAGCGAGGAUAUGGCUGACAUUCUCCAAGAAGCAGUGACUUCAGAAGAUGACUGGCAUCUUGAACUUCAGGAAAAUGCUUGGCCUUUUUAACUCUGAAAGUCUGUUUGAAACUCAGAAGAAGAAAAUUAGGCAGGGGAUGGCUCUGGCAGAGAAUCACUCCUGAGUACAACUUUCUGGCGGAAGCUCUAGUAAGUAUCCACAUCCAAAAUGCCUGGAGGAUC
rnacentral:lncRNA from 10 species